CUGUUAUGGUUUAUAAACUUAGGGCAUAUAAUGGCACGCGUUUAGUAACCUCAUUCACUAUCAGUUUAACCCAGGAAACUUAGGUCUAUUGUAUCGACCCCGAAAGAUUCAAAAAGCGCAGAAGAACACUGAUAAAAUUUACAUCAGUACAAUGCCAUACAUUAAAAUGAAGAAGGUUAGGAGCCAACAUGCGUGACAAAACGGCCAGGAGGUCUGGAAAAGCUCCCACCAAUAUGCAAGAUAUAUUAGUCAAGAAUAGUGAAAGGACUUGCAUGGAGAUAAUUUAGACAGGAAAAUAGAUUUUGUGUAACUGUAAUCCCGCACCUACUCUCGCAAUUUCGGGGCAGUCUCACAAUAGGUGCUUAACUGGCUAUGACUUCGCUUCAUCCCCAUAAAUCAAGCUUAAGUCCGCCAUGUGACCAGCGCAAGGUCAAAGUCCUGACAUUGCAAUGGCUUUCCAGGAUAUUCAGUAGUGAGGGCGACAGCUCCAUCACAUCUAGAAGAGGUUUCCUGAACAUACCAAGUUACCUAGUAAACCUAAACAGCCACACACCAUGAUAACAACGCCAUCCUUGUAGCCAAAAAACUUUAACUGUCCUUUUUAAAUAACCCGAAAAUUCGACAUAUAUCCAAGAGCCAAAAAGGGAUCCAAGAGCCAAAAAGGGUGAUUGAGCUGUAAUCACAAUCUUCCUAUUUGAUCCAUUUGUUAGCAUUCACUUGGUAGCUAUCUACGGCUACAAUAACCUUAUGAAAACUAUUUUAACCUGUUAUCUUCGUGGUUUUGUAUGUUGUUGUACACACAUUUUCAAGAGGUGGCGAUCCUUGUCAGGCUCCUGUCGGUGAGUAUGCUCGUUCCGGUCCAAAGGACCGAUCGCCCUGGGAACAGGGCGCUAAUAACCCGACUUGUCAUAUCGAGAAUUAUAGGCACUUAGUAUUUAUGCAAGAGUCGAUGCCGCUCGGCCUCACACUGCUAUUCUCCGCUCGAUACCGCUGAUUGUCCGCGACUGCCAUUGCAUGUGUUUUUUCUUGACACUCAAAAAUUAAUAAACUUCUUUCUUCUUAAUCUCAUUGGUCGAAACAAAUUUGCCGAAAAUUUUCAAUGUCAAGGCGCAUUCUGUUUCGAUAGCCUUAUGGCAUGGAAAGCAGAGUCAAAGCAGAGUGAAUGUUUUCAAAAACAAGAAGACGUAGAAAACAUUUAUUUUAUCUCUCUAGUCUACUUACUCAUGCGUACACAAUUUUCUACAGAGAAAUUAUUUUGCACGCAAUCCUUUUGUCUACACUAAGAAAUAGUAAAAUGUUACAAUCAAACCAGCAAAAAAAGAGAAAUAGAAAUAGACAUAUUUAAAUAUUAUAUCAAACAAGUCGUAAAAAUUGCGCCAAUUAAAAUGGUUAUAAUCAACGAAAAUCAAAACUAGGAAGCAAAAUCAAUUAUAGUAGCAGCAUCUAUUUAAGAUAUCGGGAAUUCGACAAGAAAUAGGAUGAGCCUUUAUUUUUACAAUUUGACGACAUAUAUUGGGUUGCCCAAAAAGUGACAUGAAACAAGGUGAAGACCAUAUUUGAUUGCGCAAAUUGCAAAAGGAACGUGGAAAUGAAGCCUCAAACGGAGAACUUAAGUCAAGGACUCUAAAAUCUGGUCGAGUCAUUCCUGGUUGCAGAUAUGCUGUGCUCCGAUCCCCAUUAUAUGUUUGUUAUAGUUUGUCUUAAGUACAUCUCAAUAGUAUGGGUGACUAAUCUUACCAUUACGUUCGUAAUACCUCGAAAUGUCCGUCAGUUUAUAUGUCCGUCCAUCUGUUGAAAUCAAGAAGGCGUAAAGCAACGCUUGCAAAGUUGUGUACAGAUAUUUCGUCAAUAAAAAUUGCAUACACGCAUUGUUGGUAAUUCGAUUUUAUUCAUAGCCCAUACACUAUGGUAGGGCGAUUUUAAGAUCUUGGGUUUGUACCAUUGUGAAAUAUUGAUUUUAGACCCCAUAAAGAAUGUAUAUUCUUGAUCGUCUUGACAAUUUAAGUCGAUCCAGGCAUGUCCGUCUGUCUCUGAAAAGCACGCUUACUUUCGAAGGAGUAAAGCUAGGCACUUGAAAUUUUGGGCAAAUAUAGCUCCCAUAUAAACCGAUCUAUCAAUUUUACUUCUUGAGCCUCUAGAAGACGUAAUUCCUUUCCGAUUUUGCUGAAAUUUGGCAUAGUCAUUGUUACAAUGACUCCUAAAUAAACGUGCCAACCAUGGCCUGAAUAGGUGCAUAACCUGAUAUAGCUACCGUGCAUAUCGAUUCCCCAUUUUACUUCUUAAGUCCCUCUUGCGCGCAAUUCUUAUCCGAUUUGGUAGAAAUUUGGCACGAGGUGAUCUACAAUUGUCUUUAACAUCCAAGUGAAGUAUGGCCGAUUAGGUUUAUAACCUGACAUACCUCUAAUAGCAUAGCAAUUUUGAUCCAUUAUAUUUAGUUUGCCUAUAAAGAGAUACCGGGCGAAGAACUUGACAAGUGUGAUUCAUAGUAGAGGGUAUGUAAGACAGCCAAACCAUUAAGAAUCUCGAUCCAAUGUUAUUAUGGGUUUCAAAUUUAUUUAAACUACUGUAUUUUCUUAAUAAACUGAUUUUAAAAUUUCGUAUUCACAAAACUCAUAAUCAAAUAACUAUUAAACAUUUUAUGCCAAACAUAAAACGGGGCAUAAAGUUGUGUCAAAAAAAAAAAAAUAGGGGUGCACCCAACUAAAAACAAAUAUCUAUUUUUGUAUAUAAAAAUAUUUUGUUUCAUUCAGAUGUUUGUUCUUAAGAUUAAUUAUUGAUCAAUUACCUAAUUGAUUAUAACAAUAAUUAUGUAAUUAAAGCUUCAAUAAUAUAAAAUAUUUUAAUGCAUAAAUUUCUGCCCAAAAAUUUUCUGUUCAAAAUAAUAGAGGUGUUGACAUUUACAACAAAAAUUGAAAAGCAAACGACACAAAAAUUCAACUGAGGAGUUGUUGGUAAUUCUGUAAACAGGUUUGGUGUCAUUUGGCAUUUGUAUCGCUGUCGCUAAUUUCAAAAGCCUCCCAAUAUUUGUUCCUUUGAGGAGCGGAGACUGAGCAGGUCACGACUUAACCUGAACCCCAUUGGCCUUUAACCACUCCUUUACCAAUUUUAUUGAGUAGUUUUUUAACUUAUGUUAGAAAAAGUACGUCUUAUGCCAGGAUUCACUAAUAGAAUCCUGGUCUUAUG
rnacentral:sRNA from 1 species